AAUCAACGCUGGCGGCGUGCCUAACACAUGCAAGUCGCGCGCGAAAGGGGGGCAACUCCCGAGUAAAGCGGCGAACGGGUGAGUAACACGUGGGUAAUCUACCUUCGAGUGGGGAACAACACCGGGAAACUGGUGCUAAUUCCGCAUGACAUCGUCGGGGCUUCGGUUCUGACGCUCAAAGCUGGGGAUCGCAAGACCUAGCGCUUGAAGAUGAGCCCGCGUCCGAUUAGCUAGNGGGUCGGGGGUAAUGGCCCACCAAGGCUUCGAUCGGUAGCCGGCCUGAGAGGGCGGGACGGCCACACUGGAACUGAGACACGGUCCAGACUCCUAC
rnacentral:rRNA from 1 species